GAUGAAGAACGUAGCGAAAUGCGAUAAGUAGUGUGAAUUGCAGAAUUCAGUGAAUCAUCGAAUCUUUGAACGCACAUUGCGCCCCUUGGUAUCCCGAGGGGCAUGCCUGUUCGAGCGUCAUUUCACCACUCGAGCCUGGCUUGGUGUUGGGCGACGUCCUCUUUGGGGACGCGCCUCGAAACGCUCGGCGGCGUGGCACCGGCUUUAAGCGUAGCAGAAUCUUUCGCUUUGGAAGUCGGGGCCCCGUCUGCCGGAAGACCUGCUCGCAAGGUUGACCUCGGAUCAGGCAGGGAUACCCGCUGAACUUAAGCAUAUCAAUAAGCGGAGGA
rnacentral:misc_RNA from 1 species